AGAGUUUGAUCCUGGCUCAGAACGAACGCUGGCGGCAUGCCUAACACAUGCAAGUCGAACGCUUGUCCGGCUUCGGCCGGGCGGGAGUGGCGCACGGGUGAGUAGCGCGUGGGAACCUGCCCUGUUGUGGGGGAUAACCGAGGGAAACUUCGGCUAAUACCGCAUACGCCGGGAAACCGGGAAAGAUUUAUCGCAGCAGGAGGGGCCCGCGUCGGAUUAGCUAGUUGGUGGGGUAACGGCCCACCAAGGCAGUGAUCCGUAGCUGGUCUGAGAGGAUGAUCAGCCACACUGGGACUGAGACACGGCCCAGACUCCUACGGGAGGCAGCAGUGGGGAAUAUUGGACAAUGGGCGCAAGCCUGAUCCAGCAAUGCCGCGUGAGUGAUGAAGGCCUUAGGGUUGUAAAGCUCUUUCGCCCGCGACGAUGAUGACGGUAGCGGGAGAAGAAGCCCCGGCUAACUUCGUGCCAGCAGCCGCGGUAAUACGAAGGGGGCGAGCGUUGUUCGGAUUUACUGGGCGUAAAGGGCGCGUAGGCGGCCCUCCUAGUCGCGUGUGAAAGCCCCGGGCUCAACCUGGGAAUUGCGCGCGAAACGGGGGGGCUUGAGUUCGGGAGAGGAGCGUGGAAUUCCCAGUGUAGAGGUGAAAUUCGUAGAUAUUGGGAAGAACACCGGGCGAAGGCGGCGCUCUGGACCGAGACUGACGCUGAGGCGCGAAAGCGUGGGGAGCAAACAGGAUUAGAUACCCUCGUAGUCC
rnacentral:rRNA from 1 species